GCAUGAAUUAUGUACAGCGGCACCUUUCGGAUGGAGGACCACGGGCGCCCGUUCGGCGGCCGACGAGCAUGGUGCUGCGGAGAAGGUAUUGCGGCUGAAGGAGCACCGUGACCUGACGGUUGAUUCGGGUCCGCGCCGGCGAGGUCGCCGACCUCCAGGCUUAUUUCCCACGGACACCGCGUCGCUUGCCGGGUCCUGUUGGUUUUCCCCUUCCGCUUCCUGCCGCCUGCACUUCCUCUGUCGCUGGGCAUCGUGGCUGCACUUCCCUAAUCCGAUUUGAUUCUGACGUAGGUUUGCACCGUGGAAGCGCUGGUGGCCUGCUGGCUUCACCGUGGAUCCUCCGCACCACCAUUGCCUCCCAGCCUGCAGACGUGUCCUAAGGUUGGAUCUGAGUAUCUGACAUCAGAGAUACGAAUACGAUGCAAGUGCUCUGAUAGCUCAACUGCAUGCUCGAUUGUUUGACUGACAACUGUAGCCAUUUGGUUGUUCUGAUGCUCUAAUAGGUGGAACAAGAUGCCAAGUUUGAUUCCUGAGCAGCGCCAUGUAUUCCUCCUCCAUGGCUUUCUUCCACUUGGAAUCACCGAGAGCUUCUUCAAGUGUUUGAGGUUCUCCUGUAGCACAAAAAUAGCCAUACCUGACCGUGCCAUCAGUGAACUUCUAGGCCUGACAAUCCCACUUUAUAAACGAGUCAUGGGACGAGAUAGCUCAAUCGGUGGAGGAGAGGAUUCAAUUUGUUGAACUGUUUCAGAUUCAGCCGCAGCAGAUCAUGAAGACGCCGCAGAAAAUCCGCCUCCUGCUGGUGGUGUCCGCUCCGGUGAUAGCACCUGGUCAGGUGGGACACCUAGCGCUUCCAGGUUGGGCGCAGGCGGCACAGCUCCCUGCGGCCGGGGCGACACGGUCGGACUAGAUUCGCCCCCGCCACGCGUCGAGUCUUGAUAUGGCCUGGUCCGACCCCAAGGCAAAUCAGCGCUGGAUCGCGCGCCGUCGGCUGCAUGAGGAUCCGCAUUGGAUAUGGUGCCAGGAUUUUCUACAGCUCCGUUUGUGGCAUUUCCUUCACCGUUUUCAUCCAAAUUUCUUCCUGUAUCUUCCUGCUCAACACUAGGCAAGUCAUUGGUGAUAAUCGGGUUAGCACAAGUUACAUCCCCUAGUAAAUGUGGUGGCAAUAGAAGGAUUUCUUUGCGGAGAAGGGCUCGCACAUUUUGAUGGAGAUUAUGAACGGAAAAAUAUUUUCGUCGAACACCACAUCCCUUGAGAUGUAAACACGGCCGGAUGAGACAUCAAGACACUUGAAUCCCUUGUGAAGAGAGCUAUAGCCGAGAAAGACACAACGGAUGGAUCGAAAGGAAAGCUUUCGAGUAUUAUAUGCUCGUAGAUUUGGCCAACAAACACAACCAAAGGUCACCGGUUAUAUGGUCAGAUGCUCCGCUGUCCAUGUACCAGGUUGUGUCCACCCCAUAGCUUGUUGCAGCUCCAGCAAUCUUGGGGUGUUGUUGUUCUUCUCCAUUCUCAUCAUACAUGUAACAGCAGGUCACCGGUUAUAUGGUCAGAUGCUCCGCUGUCCAUGUACCAGGUUGUGUCCACCCCAUAGCUUGUUGCAGCUCCAGCAAUCUUGGGGUGUUGUUGUUCUUCUCCAUUCUCAUCAUACAUGUAACAGCAGGUAGGAGCUUCAUGGCCGACCUUUUUACAGAUCUGGCAUUGUGGCUUGCUGUUCUUGCCUCCUUGCUUAGGCGUGCUGUUGCUGUUGCGAUUGAAGUUGGAAUUGAAGUUGGGACCGCGGCUGUUUCCACGGCCACGGUUUCCUCCUUCUCCUCGACCGUGGUAGCCUCCACGCCCUCUUGAUGCUGAAUUGGCUAAAGAUUGGUACUGGCCAUGACUCUGUCCUUCAUGAAGCAUCUCAAGACAAGUAUCAUAAGCCAUCAACUGAGCAUAAAGAUCGCUCAUGGAGAUGGUAUCAUACCGACCCAUAACAGAAGACACGACAGGAUUGUAAUCUUGAUCUAAACCGGUUAGGAUAUACGAAAUCAUCUCAUCAUCAUCAAUAAUUUUAUCGGUAGUGGCGAGUUCAUCCCUUAAACCUUUCAUAUUGGUGAAGAACACUGUCAUUGUCAUGCUUC